rnacentral:miRNA from 1 species
CAAUCAUCGCCCUUUUUAAUG